rnacentral:pre_miRNA from 1 species
CCGCCCGCUUGCAGUUGUCAUGGUCCUCUUGUUGAGAGCAGGCCACUAUGACACUCAAGCGAGUGAAG